UCUGUUAUUUGUGAUGUAGGUCUUACAGACGCCAUCAUGUGCUAUAUAGUCUAUCCUUAAGAGGAUUGUUCUGCUUCUGUUAUUUGUGAUGAAGGUCUUCAGAGAUGCCAUCAUGUGUUAUAUAGUCCUUAAGAGGUAUAUCCUUAAGAGGUUAGCUUGAGACCUUGUUUGUCAAAAGCAUGUUUUAUGACCUUAAAGAGUAAUGAUCUCAAGGUUACCUUGAAAGGGUCACUUACAUGCAUACUUUCCAGAGGUCGCUGGUGAAAUUACGGUUUCCAAUAGAGCGGAGAGAGCAACUGUUCGGAAUGCCUAGCUGAACGAAUGCAUGCUACAGGCUGCGCGACAACCUUGUCAUGAAGGGCCAACUUCUGCGGUCGUUGCGCUGACAGCCACGAAAGAAGCCGUAUCACCGUGGCUUUCGUAUGAAGAUUUGAUAUGAGCUUCUUAACAAGAGCUUGUGCUGUGUUGGAAGGUGGCUAUGAUCACGCAUAGGGUGUGUCAUGUUAACCUCUCACGAGUUGUACGCCUUCUUGCGCAUGUGGGGAGCUUCACAGCCUACAGUGACGAAGCCAACU